AAAGAGAGAAGCAUCGCUCGGUUCCUCAGUGCAACUACGGUGGCAGACUGCAAGAAGAAGCUUUAGAAAAGUUCCAGAUGAUCUAGACAGUGAUGUUGCUGGCUUCGUUGGCUCUGUGCUACCAAACUCAAGGGCAAAUGAACUGGUAUUGAAGGCCGUCCAGACAUUGAGCGUGGAAACCCUGAAAGUCCUGAAUUACGUCCAGGGGGCAGAUCUGGUCAAUGUCCUUAGGCCAGUUGAAGCUAGAAAACUGGAGACCUAUAGCCACACCCAGAGGAACAAUGAGCUCUCUAGCCACACCCAGAGGAACAAUGAGCCUUAUAGCCACGCCCAGAGGAAUGAUAAAAAGUGUCAUGCAGAGACUAUUCAUCUUCCAGUAUGUGUGAGAAAAUGUCUUUGAGCAAUUGAAAAUAAAAUGUGCAUAUUUUCUAAUUA